rnacentral:rRNA from 1 species
AGUGAACGCUGGCGGCAGGCCUAACACAUGCAAGUCGAACGGCAGCACAGGAGAGCUUGCUCUCUGGGUGGCGAGUGGCGGACGGGUGAGGAAUAUAUCGGAAUCUACCCUUUCGUGGGGGAUAACGUAGGGAAACUUACGCUAAUACCGCAUACGAACUGAGGUUGAAAGCGGCGGACCGCAAGGCGUCGCGCGGAUGGAUGAGCCGAUAUCCGAUUAGCUAGUUGGCGGGGUAAAGGCCCACCAAGGCGACGAUCGGUAGCUGGUCUGAGAGGAUGAUCAGCCACACUGGAACUGAGACACGGUCCAGACUCCUACGGGAGGCAGCAGUGGGGAAUAUUGGACAAUGGGCGCAAGCCUGAUCCAGCCAUGCCGCGUGUGUGAAGAAGGCCUUCGGGUUGUAAACUGCUUUUGUACAGAACGAAAAGGUUUCUAUUAAUACUAGGGGCUCAUGACGGUACUGUAAGAAUAAGCACCGGCUAACUACGUGCCAGCAGCCGCCGUAA